rnacentral:rRNA from 1 species
UACGUAGGGGGCAAGCGUUGUCCGGAUUUAUUGGGCGUAAAGAGCGUGUAGGCGGCCGCACAGGUCCGUUGUGAAAACUGGAGGCUUAACCUUCAGACGUCGAUGGAAACCGUGCGGCUAGAGUCCGGAAGAGGAGAAUGGAAUUCCUGGUGUAGCGGUGAAAUGCGCAGAUAUCAGGAGGAACACCAAUGGCGAAGGCAGCACUCUGGGACGUGACUGACGCUGAGACGCGAAAGCGUGGGGAGCAAACAGG